GGUUUUUGGGUUGGCCUUUACUUACGAAUCAGAAUCUAACACCAUUCGUAAAGCGUGACGGACGCAGAUUACGCGUUGAAUGAGCCGUACAGAUCCCGAUUCCGGAUCAAUGGGUAGCUCGACAUCACGUGCUACGGAAGAGGGUUUAGGGUUCCUCGGUGUCCCGUGCUAUGGAGGCAAGCUCCCCGGUUGGAUCCCGGAGUCGAACUAAGAAGAGUCUGAAUCCGGUCGAUUCCAAUCAACAUCCCAGAAAUUUCUUUCCAUCUCUUCGUCGGAUGGGUUUCCUCUACAACAAACCUCGUGAUUUGUUACUUAGAAGGAUAUCUUGAUCACUCUGUUUCUUGUUGAAUGGAAAGGAUAUGUUGAUCCCUCUUAUUCGUGUUGAAUUUGCUCAAGUUUAUGUUUGUCUGGUGUCAUGUCAAAGGAAAGUAACAGGAUCUUUGUUAGUUUCAACUUUGUUAUCUACAUUCCAAUUUGAUGGGCUUGCGAGACGAGAGGAUUCUGACUGGUGUUGGCUCAUGGCUUUUCUUUGAGAUAACAUCGUCAAGUUUCUAAAAAUUAUACCUUGAUUGGCAAAAGAAUUCAUAAUUAGUUGUUCUAUUUGGUUUGCAUCUGAAAAAUAUCCGACAAGUAUCAUUAUCUGAUUCAUAUAUGAUAUGGAUUCCACAUGCAUUUUGAAUUGUGUAUGUUCUGUAGAUUGCUCUGAAGCUGUAUAUUUGUUUUGUCCAUGGGAUCAACUGAUUCUUUCCACAUGGAGUUUGGGCUUCUCUUUAGAGCCUCUCUUUCCCUGCUCGCUUUAUCAUGUCAUCAUGUUGCUGCUCUGUUUUUCAAUAUUGUUGCAAGAAACUAUUCCAGUCUGUAGAAUAAUUUGGUUAUCUUUGUCCUUUUCCUAUCCUUCUCUUCUUUAGAGUCUGGGUUUCUCUUCUUUCCUUUUCCUAUCAUGACAUUUUGCUCUUCAGCUUUCAUGUCAAAUAAUGUAACUGAUUGAAGAAAUGCUUCAAUAACACAGUAUACUGACCAAAAGAUUUUGGCAGUUGAGAGGAAUUACCUUGAGGUGCAACACAAGCUGGUGUAUCAAUUUGAAGAUAAACCUCACUACAGAUCUCCUUACCUUUUCAGAAGUGUAAGCAUGACAAAGUCUUCCAGUGUUUACUGAUCAGGUUCACAUGGGUGCCUGUGAUUCAGAUUUUGGUUCAAUUGCUACCAUUUGCAUAGUUAGCCUUAACUGAAACUGUUUAUUCAGUUGAUAGCAAUAUAAAUAGAUCUGCUGGAUAAUCUCAUUUCCCCUCCUCCAUGAUUAUUUUUCGAGCUGAGCAUUUAUAUAUUAUCAUUUUGUCUUGCUUCCAUCUUUCGUUUAAAGAUCCCUCCGUCUUUCAUCCAGCCAUCGACUGGGUCAUUGGCUUCAUCUGAUUAGAAUCUUGGCUUGAAGUUUGUCAUUGCUAUUGGACAGGAUACAUCAGGAGUUUUUCAUGAUGUAUAGAUUCCAAAGCCAUGGACAAGGGAGGUUUAUUGGCACUGCAAAAAAUCAAGCAAAUUGGUCAUCAAGUUAUAUGCAUGAAUGGCUUUGGCGCAUUAACUGGCCAUCAUAAAUUCAUGAUGAUACAUUUCUUAUUUGCCAUUGCAACAGGAUCAUGAGUUGUCUCAAUCUGAAACUGAGCUUUUACCAACUAUCAAGCCUCCAAGAACAGGCUGUGGAUCUGUGCAACAGAAGCUACCACAUGCAAGUGCAGUCCUCAUCGGACUUCUCAAGAGGUCUACGUUUCAUUUCUCCCCUCCAAGAACAUACCUUUCUGAGUGUACAGUGGGGUGCAGAGCCUGCAGCGACAUCUACAUCCAGUCUCCAAAUCACUAUCAUGUGUUUUUUGCUUUAUGCCUUCCUUUUCUGUCCACGUUUCUGGUGGUGUGGUUUUGCCAAGUACAUUGGUUUUCUGCUGCAUGGAAGCCAUCUAAAGAAGCCACAUGGUAGCUGCAUUGCUAAUUCAAAUCCGGCCUCAUGGAGUUUUCCUCAUAAUCAAGAAUAAAAGUUGAAAAGCUUUAUGCUGACUCAACUUGAGAAUGAUACAAAGAGAUUCCUUGUCUUCUAUAAAGAUUAGUACCAAAGUUUUUUCUCCUUGGUCAACUGGAGGACAGCCAAGUAUUCACUCACAGUGGAGCCCAAGCAAUAAGUGAUCAAGGAAAAUGACUCCCUCGCAACUUCCAGCUGCACAAGUCAACCAGCACAAGAGAUGAAGAUAGUACAUGAUGGCCUGAUGAUGAGAGUAACGAGCAUGAUCCAAGAAUCCAGCGCUAAUACAGCCCUCAGAUUUGUUACUGUGCUUUAAGUUCAGGACUUAUGUGUCUCUUUGUUUGCCAAAUUCCUGUACUUUGGAAAGAAGAACUCUGCAUUUCAACUACAACUGGGCUCCAAAUUAUAAAAGCCUAACUACUUUUUUGUGUUA